UGGGGAAUUUUGGACAAUGGGGGCAACCCGUGAUCCAGCAAUGCCGCGUGUGUGAAGAAGGCCUUCGGGUUGUAAAGCACUUUUGUCCGGAAAGAAAACGCCGUGGUUAAUACCCGUGGCGGAUGACGGUACCGGAAGAAUAAGCACCGGCUAACUACGUGCCAGCAGCCGCGGUAAUACGUAGGGUGCAAGCGUUAAUCGGAAUUACUGGGCGUAAAGCGUGCGCAGGCGGUCCGCUAAGACAGAUGUGAAAUCCCCGGGCUUAACCUGGGAACUGCAUUUGUGACUGGCGGGCUAGAGUAUGGCAGAGGGGGGUAGAAUUCCACGUGUAGCAGUGAAAUGCGUAGAGAUGUGGAGGAAUACCGAUGGCGAAGGCAGCCCCCUGGGCCAAUACUGACGCUCAUGCACGAAAGCGUGGGGAGCAAACAGGAUUAGAUACCCUGGUAGUCCACG
rnacentral:rRNA from 1 species